AGAGUUUGAUCCUGGCUCAGGAUGAACGCUAGCUACAGGCUUAACACAUGCAAGUCGAGGGGCAGCAUUUUAGUUUGCUUGCAAACUAAAGAUGGCGACCGGCGCACGGGUGAGUAACACGUAUCCAACCUGCCGAUAACUCGGGGAUAGCCUUUCGAAAGAAAGAUUAAUAUCCGAUAGUAUAUUAAAACCGCAUGGUUUUACUAUUAAAGAAUUUCGGUUAUCGAUGGGGAUGCGUUCCAUUAGUUUGUUGGCGGGGUAACGGCCCACCAAGACUACGAUGGAUAGGGGGUUCUGAGAGGAAGGUCCCCCACAUUGGAACUGAGACACGGUCCAAACUCCUAGGAGGCA
rnacentral:rRNA from 1 species